rnacentral:rRNA from 1 species
CAAGUCUCUAAGCAAUGGAUGUCUUGGCUCCUCACACGAUGAAGAACGUGGCAUAAUGUGUUAAGUAACCGGAGUUGCAAACAUCAUGACAGGUUAAUCUUUGAAUGCAAAUUGCGCUAAACUCGAUCUCGGUCGAGAAGCAUGGGUGUGACAGUACUACAU